rnacentral:rRNA from 1 species
UACGUAGGGGGCUAGCGUUGUUCGGAAUUACUGGGCGUAAAGGGCUCGUAGGCGGCCAACUAAGUCGGAUGUGAAAUCCCCAGGCUCAACCUGGGAACUGCAUCCGAUACUGGAUGGCUUGAAUCCGGGAGAGGGAUGCAGAAUUCCAGGUGUAGCGGUGAAAUGCGUAGAUAUCUGGAGGAAUACCGGUGGCGAAGGCGGCAUCCUGGACCGGCAUUGACGCUGAGGAGCGAAAGCUAGGGGAGCAAACGGG